AUUGAACGCUGGCGGCAGGCUUAACACAUGCAAGUCGAGCGGAGACUUCGGUCUUAGCGGCGAACGGGUGAGUAAUACCUAGGAAUCUGCCUAUUAGUGGGGGAUAACGAAUCGAAAGGUUCGCUAAUACCGCAUACGUCCUACGGGAGAAAGGGGGGAGUCUUCGGACCUCUCGCUAAUAGAUGAGCCUAGGCCGGGAUUAGCUAGUUGGUAGGGUAAAGGCCUACCAAGGCGACGAUCUGUAGCUGGUCUGAGAGGAUGGCCAGCCACACUGGAACUGAGACACGGUCCAGACUCCUACGGGAGGCAGCAGUGGGGGAAGUAUUGGACAAUGGGGGCGAACCCUGAUCCAGCCAUGCCGCGUGUGUGAAGAAGGCCUCGGUU
rnacentral:rRNA from 1 species